UACGGGGGGGGCAAGCGUUGUUCGGAAUUACUGGGCGUAAAGGGCUCGUAGGCGGCCAACUAAGUCAGACGUGAAAUCCCCAGGCUCAGCCUGGGAACUGCGUCUGAUACUGGAUGGCUUGAAUCCGGGAGAGGGAUGCAGAAUUCCAGGUGUAGCGGUGAAAUGCGUAGAUAUCUGGAGGAAUACCGGUGGCGAAGGCGGCAUCCUGGACCGGCAUUGACGCUGAGGAGCGAAAGCCAGGGGAGCAAACGGG
rnacentral:rRNA from 1 species